rnacentral:lncRNA from 1 species
UAAAUGACAUCUCACGGUUUUAAACUAUAGACAUUCUCCAUUAAAAUCAUCAAUUAUUACAUGCUUUCACAAAAGAAACGAAUGUCUAAGCUUUAACGUGCUUAUGUGAAGUAAUGAUCAUGAAUCAAAAGAAUUUGAACAAGUUACAAUUUCUAGCCAAUAAAAAAAUCAAAACAGUGUACAAAAAGGAAAUAGGUGAAUACACUUCAAACCCCCAUCAUAGUAGGAACCACCUGGCUACAUGAAGGACAAUGAAUAUAUCCUACAUUAUUACAAGUGUCAAUUAGUCUCUCGCAGGAGCUCUCUUUAAACAUAUUUCGUUGGCAUAAUGAAACCUUAAAUAUUCGGACACACUUAAAUUGGGUUUCUUCUAUUUCCAAGAUUGACCCUGGCAAAUUUGAUGAAGCCUCGGUUGUAGCAAUAAAGAUUGAGGAACUUGAGAUGCAAGGAAGAAUGGUUGUAUGAAUGAGGUGCUAGCCAAGGCGGGAGUUAGUGCAAAUAUCUAGUCAACACAAACACCCAUAUCAGAGUAGAAAAAGCUAUCACAAACACAUAUAUACCAAAGGGCAGAGCUGUUACAAUCAGCCAAAUGGAAUCAGUAAAAGGCAAACCAGCAAAUAGCCAAUCUCACUUACGAACCAGUAGGGGACAUCCGUAGGUUGUCAAUCCAAUCAUAAACCAGCCAUAAAGAACAAAGGCAGUUCAUAAAUCAAUCAAUUCAUUUACAAACAACACAUUACUAUUUUCAGUAUAAAUUCUAGCAGGCAGAAAUCAGAGAGUUCAGGUGAAAGGCAAUGAUUAUACUGGCAGUUACAGCAUCAAUUAGCAAUGAAGGCUAAAAUAAAUCAAUGUAAAACAGUCCAUUUAUGGCUCACAAUGGACAGCCUAGGAGUCAAUCAUCAUGUGACAGUUUUGGCAAUUCAAGAGGCUCAUAAGGCUAUAUAAGCAUACCUUCAAACAGUAUAAAGGGGGGACAUUACCAUAGUGAGGGGACAAUCGAAAACAGAGCAAAAAACUGGUCAUAUAGCAGUAUAAGUACAAAGAAAAAGAGAUAUAAGAGAUACACACAAAAGGAGAGAGAAACGAAAAGAGAGAUAUCACAAACAUGCACCUACUAGUCACAGAUACAUCAUCAUAAAAAUCAAGAGGGGGACUCCGUGAGAAAAGAGAACACAGAAAUAGGAAAGAUCAAGCAAAUACACAACAGUCCAAAUACACACAGAGGCGGGAACCAGAGAACAAAAGGCAGGAACCAGAGAACAAAAGGCAGGAACCAGAGAACAAAAGCAGGAACUCAACAGGAAGUCAGUAAAAGCAACGUGUAGAUAAGAACACAUUCAGGGACACACAACAUAUAUAGGCAUACAUAACCACAAGAGAAAUCAGCCAAGAGAUAUUGUAAUAAGGCAUCCAGAAACGUAAGAGCAGAAAGGAGAUUGCAACAAAACAUAGAACAUCUUACAUCAUAGCAAAAAACAACACUCACGAGGAAUAAAAGGAAGAAGCAUAACUCAGGUAAGUCACUCCUUUUUUUUUUUCUUCUUUCUUUUUCUCAAAUAAUAACAAACAGAAACACAUUUCAGGCAAUAUGUAUCAAGAGAAUGUACAUCACACAUUCAAAUACUCAUGUCAUAAAAUUAAGGGUUCAGUUCAUAUUCACAGCUAGAGUAUAAAGAGUAUAAAUAAAACGAUAUGGUAAUUACAGUAUGAGAACGAAUUCUACAUCAACCUAGUACCAAUAGAUGACCAUGCCAAAUCCAGAAUACACUUCGGUUUAAUCGAUGUGGCAUAUAUCUUUGAUACCCCCUAAUCGGUUCGGAUUCAGCCAUUAACGGCUUUAUACUUGCUGCACCGGAAAUAAACCAUGAUGCACUAUCUUUCUUACCCAUCUCGAAUCAGAGAUGCUUCGGGUUGAGAACUCCAUGAACCACCAUCGGGAUAUAAGCCCCAUUGCUGCGAAAAUUGAAUAAAAAGAGAUAAGAGAUAAAAAGGGUAACCGAAAUAGAGGAUGUAAUUACCAUUCCUGGUGCCAUCUUGUUCGCCGCCACGAACCGCCGUAUGAGCAAGAAUCCGAAUCUGAGCCACCAUAGAGGUUAAGGUCUUCAUCGAUGAGUAUCAUCGCCAACCAUUACAGUAACCCGUAUUUCCCACCGUGACUCCAACUUCAUCAACCCAACCACCCCAUCACCAUCGCGCCACCUCCUUGGCCACCGCGUGAGAAAGGAAGGUUUGUAGGGAUUUCCCCAAAUUGGCUUCGUGAAUAAUGGAAACCUGGGAAUUAUCCCUUCCUUAUUUUUUUACACGUGAGCUUUGGCUUAGUU